GGGGUUGUAGUGUAACUUGGUCAGUGAGCCCUUUUGGGCUGCUGGAGCAAUUAUCACCCGUGGUUCGGGGCCACGUAAUCGGAGUUCAAAUCUUCGCAACCCCA
rnacentral:tRNA from 1 species